AGUUGUUAGAUGAAAUUCAAAUAUUUUUUAUGUUUGUGUUGUGUAGAUCAAAAACUAAUAAACAAAGAUGACCAAGAGAUUCAUUUUAAGACACAUCAAUCUUCAUCAUCUUUAAAUAAAAAGGAUAAACAUGAUGGAUUUCCAUUAUCUCAAGCAAAAACAAAGAGUUCAAAAUAUUGGUGGUAAGAACUGUCAAAAACUUGUGAUAGCUAUGAUGAAGACUUUUAUGACAAAUUCACUCAUGGCCAAAUCUAAUAUGGCAGCU
rnacentral:lncRNA from 1 species